CACGAGCACCACUAAACGAGCGCUGAGCCGCGCGGGGCCAGAAGCUGGACCGGCGCGCACACCUGCCUUGCCUGUCACCUGGAGCCUCUGAGACCCGCCCACAGCCGUCUGGGCUGUGUCCACCGUGAGAACCAGAGCUUUGUUCUCCCCAGGAUCCCGGAGACGCGCCAUUGUUACUUCGGGACACCUGGGGGCCGCGUAAGGACAGGAAAUUUUUGUUUUUCAAAUAGAAUUGACGAAUAAAAGCAAAUAACUACUUCUUUUGUGAAGUCUUGGAAAAUGCUACCUAAAAUGGAGUCCCCGUGGUCAGAGAGACACAUUCGAGGAACCUAAGAUCAUCAAGAGGCUGCGGCUGAGCUGUGGCCUAGCCACUUGCCGCUGUGACCCCCACUGACCAAUCAGCUGUGGACUCCUGGACUUUGUUGAUCGCCUGCACCAACCAGCCCGGCUUUGCCUUCUUUGACUCAAGCCCUUUGUUCUCUUUCCCACACACACUGUUAGUUUUAUUCGAAUCUUUGUAUUCCGAAUUGCAGCUUCUAAGACCCUAAAGAAAGCUGUCUUGGUUUUUUUCAGCCUCGAUAUUGAUAACUGGUUAUUCUUGUAGCAUUUUCUAAGGUUAUUAAAACAUGUUCUGCAGGUAGCUAGCUUGUAAAGCUAAGCGGGACAACGUCAUGGUCAUCAGCGGUCACACAGUGCCCUCUGGUGGCUCCGUGAGAAAACGACACGCAGGCUCCAGGACACCAUGGUAAACUGACAUUGAAAUAAUGCUAUUAGGUCAAAGUCCUCUAAUAUUCAGCGUUUUGGGAGUGCCUUAUCGAGGAAGUCCCUGUUGAGGACUUCAGGUAGAGAUGCAACAGGAGGUGGGAUUCGGUUUGUGGUGUCUGUAAGACAGCAAUCCAGAGGUGUGUAAACCCCUAGCCCUGAGCCUGACUGCUGAGGGUGGAGACGCAGAACUGCCACCCCCAGACCCGCAGUGAGCACCUGCCACAGCCCCCAGCCUCCCGGGGAAGCUGGGUCCAGCCCCACCUUCAUUGUUCUAUUCACUCAGCUCCCACACUGCUGGCCUGGCCACCAGGGGCCCCACUGCUGAACACAAACACACUUACCACGCUAUGCUGUUCUUCUCCACAAUGCAAUUUUUUUUUUCCCUCUGUACCGGAGAUUGAGCUCAGGACCUUGUAUUCGAGAGACAAGCGCGGUGCCACUGAGCUAAAUCCCUGGCCCUUCCACAAUGUUACCUCAAUAAAUUUUGGAAUUUGAAAUGGACAAAGUAUUUGAAAGAAGAACAAAAAGAAAGGAUUACAGUAAUGAUUGAGUUUUCGGACAGGUGUGGACUUCCCGGGGGAAGCUGUCAUCAGUGUGACCCUGGAGGAGGACUCAGAGCGGAGAGCACCUGAGCUGGGGAGCUGACUGUUCGGAGACAGAGGAACUGCCCCUCGGCAGACUCCUGCACGACCUGCACUCUAUGGAGAAGUCUCCAUCAAACAGGAAACAGAAACUUUAGCUCUUGAACUGAGAAGAAGUGGGUUUUGAAUCAGGAAAUAACAAAAACCAGAACGACAACCAAAGUAGCUGGUUAUGAGUCAAGAAAAGGGAGAAUUCAGGAGACUUGUGGCUCUUGCGGCUGCUUUGAGGAUUCAGCUGUGAGCAACAGCCUGGGGUCACACCUGGAUAAGCGCAAGGUUCAGGGGGGCAGACACAGGUGUCUUUGAGGAGAAACCCCAGGUAUUUUGUUUUUUUUUUUUGGUACCAGGGAUCGAACUCAGGUCCUUGCACUUGCAAGGCAGGCGACGGAACCGCUGGGCUAAAUCCCUAUUUUUUUUUUUAAAGAAUUUCCAAAGGCCAUUUUUUUUUUUGUCUUUCAG
ensembl:lncRNA